rnacentral:tRNA from 1 species
CAAAAUGUAGUUUAACACAAACAUUUCGUUUACACCGAAAAAACUUCCGAUAAAAUCAGAACAUUUUGC